GAAGCGUGUCCCAUCUGUGAGCACGUGUUUCCAAGUGACAUGUUGGAAAUCCAUGCAAGCGUCUGUGGUGAAAGAGCUUGUGAUGAAUGGACAAUGGAUGGCAAAAGAAGUUAUGUAACAGAGAUGGAUCCAAAACAAUUCAAGAUGCACCAAGAGAUGAAAAGCAUUGCUGAUGUAGUCAAAAGCCUGAAUGAACGAGUGGAUGAAACAAACAUCUUUAACAU